UCAGGUGCAAUAUAGAGCCAUCAUCUCAAACCGGAUGAUGAUAUUCACCAGCUGCCAAGCUGAAGAUGACUAUCAACACCAUGAUGGUAGCCAUCAUCUCUAUCCUUCUGCUAACCCUGGUGGUUGUUUCACUAGCACCACCUUCACCAAUUACAAGCUCAAAUAAUGUCCGAAAAUCUCGACGCAGCAUCAUCGUACACGGUAACCUGCUGCUGAUGAUAACUCCAAAUUCCUGCCACUUUCUUUUUCUCAGGCUCUACACAUGCACUCAUCCUCUUGAUGCUUUUAGGAUGCCUUCUGCUGCUCAUAAAGCUUUUUAACUAUUUUUCUAUCAGAAUAUUUUUCAGAUAUUGAUGAUCUUUUGGCAUUUGUAGCCAAUAGUGCCCUGUAUAGAUUGCUUUGUCACAGCCUUAAGACUGAUUUAAAAUGUUAUUAUGGUAUAAGCAUAAUUUACAGCUCUGGGUAACAUUGUCAGGUUGCAACAACAACUGCAGUAUGGCCUGCUGCUACUGCAACAUUCAAAGAUCGCCACCAGUUUGUGAAAGGUGCUGUGGAUAAUUUGAACUCCAUGAAGAACGCGGCAUGAACAAUAUACAUGUUUUCAUUUAUUUGUUCCCCACAACGAUGAAGCAGCGCUUGAUUUCAUGGCACUUUCUCAUCUUCUAAUUAACGAUGAAGUAAAGAAUUAUCUGGUAUAUGGAAUAGCACUGGAAAAGAAAAUUUCAUUGCUAGUUAUUUCUGUUUGUUAUCUGGAAGCAACAGCUCUGAAUUCGACAAUCUCAGAGCUACCAUGGCUGUAACCAUUAGGUAAAGAAUAGUUUCAAGCUCAUUGAAACUUAUAUUCUGUGGACCAUGAAUCCACAUUUCA
rnacentral:lncRNA from 1 species